GCUGCGCGUGCGCUCCUACCGCGGCCGGCCAGGAGCGGGCAGGGACGGGACGUGGGAAAAUGACUACGCGUCACACGUGAUGUCGCUCACUCACCUGGCGUUUUCUUGGUUGCGGCAGGCCUGGUAUGGUGGGGGCAAGUGGGUUGGAGCCCACUGCGCUUGUGUUCUCUCUACGCAUUCUGUUUGGCCGAGGAUGGGCAGCUCUUGUCCACCUUGGCCUCGGGCGGAAGCUUCUCCUGUCAUCUGGCCUGUGACAAAUGCAGUAUGAUACUCCUGUGAUGCUGGACAGCCAUGGAGAGGCACAACUCCCAGUCAGUCAUAUGAUCAUGAGGCAGCAGCACAAGGAUUCUCAUCCAAGCAGAAAGAUAAUACCAGAGGUCCAAACUGGCAGCUGAAUAGCAAAAGGAAGAAAAGCUCCUCGUAUAAGCCAGCUGUUACAGAGGCAGCCUGCACCCUGAGCAGCCGGUGCACCACCAAGCUCCUUCCACUGGAACUUCACUCAGCAUCUCAGCAUCAAGCCACUGUAACUUCGGACUGUGUCUGUGUUUUAUCUUGAUUUAUUUUGUGCACCCAUUAGCUAGAAGUAUCCUUAGUUAACUGCUUCUUUACUUUACACCAUUUUGGCUUAUGAAAGUUAUCCUGGGAAUGCUCUGCUUUCAGAUAGUUGCGGAGAAACCUGUACUUUCUUCUUCACUGGGGUGGAAGCCUGCAAAUUACACUUUCCAGAGUUCCUGACUCCAUGUUAGCUUUGCCUGUGAGAAAGUAUAGAUGAAAGACUGAAAGGUAGAAAGAAGACAGGAGCUAUUUAUAUUCUGCUCCUAUCAGUGAUUGCCGGCAAUAACAGCAGCAGGUGACUGAAAAUAGAUCCAUGUUUCCAUAGGAUCGGGGCAGUAUUGACAAGAUGGAGUAUGACAAGAUGGAGGGCUUCUUAGGUGGCCACAGUCCAGUUUUAAAUGCAGAAGAACAAAGGGAUUACUUCUAGCAUUUUUGUGAUACAUGCAGGCUCAUAGCUUCCAGCCCAAGGAGGAAGCAUCUUCGAGGUCCUUUUUUUCCGUAGGAUCCUUCAGUCCCUCAGGUAUUUUCUCCUUUUUUCUUUUACUCCUCCAGUUCCUUAUCCAGUCCCCUGCAUUGUGUCUCAUGCUUGGAAUAUCUAGAGAGGUUUCUCUUUUCUUGAUAGGAUACUAAACAGUUGAACAAGGAAGCAUUAAUCCAGAGUAAGAAGCGCAGGAUACAGGCCAGCACAUACGGAGACUAUGUAGACAUUGUGAAGAGGCAACUAAUCUAGAGAAAGCCAACUUAUGAACAGCCUUAUGAAAUGACUCACACUGUGAGGAACUGCAGCUUCUGCAUACCAACAUGCAAAGGAAAAUCAAAAGAAAACGAGACCUAGUAUGGAAAAUAACUGAUUCAGGAAUCUCUUAAGGAAGUGUUCAGUCUCUCCCAUGCUUCUCAGACAGUAUCUACAAAUGUUGAGAGAUGUGUGAAAGCAUGGCUGAUGGGAUCUCUUAUCAGGUCUGUGUUCAAAGGUACUUUGUCGAAGAGUUCUUCCUGGUCUGUUCUAUAUUGAGAACACCUCUCUGCACUGUCACAGACCAACAGAGAAGCCAAGUAUGCUCCCCUAGCCAAUUGUAUAGGACACCCUGCUUCCGGUUAACCUGCUUACAGCUUCUCCACGGCAACAGCUUCCAAUCAGAGGCUACUUGAAGCCUACCCUUUUUCUCCAUACAAAGCUUUCCUACUCAUCUCUCUGCAGGAUCUUCAGUGUUCACGUGAUUUCCCCCACUGGGCUGCAUAUCUCUGACUGACCCUCUCCAGAUAUCAUUCUGUGGGGAGAAGAGGAACAUUGGCUGGCCUGUGCUUUUCGUUUUCUUUGGGUCUUGCCAGGACUAUCGCAGUAUUAGGAGCUAAAUUGUGGCCUUGAAAAUCUGACACAUUGAGUCUUAACCUCCAGUACUUCCGAAUGUGACUGUAUUUGGAAAUACAGACUUUAAAAAGGUAGUAAGGUUAAAUGAGGUCGCUGGAAUGGGCCUAAUCCAAUCGGACUGGCAUCCUUGUAAGAAGAGGAUUUUAGAACAAAGACGCACGGAGGGAAGACAGUGUGAAGACUUAGGGAGAAGAUGGCUGGCUACGAGCCCAGGAGAGAGGCUUCAAAAGAAACCACCCCGCUGACAUCCUGGUCUCAGACUUCCAGCCUCCAGAACUAUAUUGCUGUGUUUUCCUCAAAGCAGUUACACUAGUUUAUCCUCCGACAGACGGAGAUCUGAUAAGCUCAUUGAAAACAACAGCAACAACAACAACAAAAACAACAGAUGCUUCCCCAGGCCAGAG